UCUGUUCCUCACACUUCUAUGAGAUCCCAGCUCCCUGAUUGAUGGAGCACUGUUCCCUCUGUACUGAGGUGGGGCAAAAGAUGCAGCAUCCAUAAGAAGAAACCCAUCAGGAUGUCUUGUAUUUAAGGGGGUAAAUGAAGAACUGGAGCUUGCUGAGGCAUUGAAAUACUGGAAAUUCCCAGAGUUGCCUUCAGCAUUCUUUCUCUUGUAUGAACCUCUGGCAAUAUCCAUGAAGUUAUUGUUUGUUCCAUACUCAUCAGCUGAAACUCCAAUGACUCCAUAAUUGGUGGAAGAUGGUAAAUGAUCACAAGACUGGUGACUUAAAGGAAUACCAGCAGAUGGGGUCAUGUAAGGAACAUAGAAGUUGGAUGCAGCAGCAGCAGCAGCAGCACCUAAGUCAAGAUUUGGCACAUGAUGCUGAUGAUGAUGUUGAACACCAUGGUAUUGUGGCAUCCCAUAAAAAAUAGCAUUGUCAUAACGCUCUGGUAGAUGAUGGCCAUCAACAUUAGUUGUACCCCCUGAAGCUGUAACCACUGUCUGAAUAUCAGGCUGUGGGAAGUUGGUUAUGCCCCCCAAGAGAAUGCAAGGCUCAGGAUGUAGAUAUCCCUGGCCUUGCCUAUCCAUUUCUAGAUCAAUCUGACUAGCGCAUAGCAUGUUCCUCUGUCCCAUAACUCAAAUUAUCCCUUGUUAACAUUAACAAAAUCAAGGGCUGGAAUUUCACCGAUGGAUAAAUUGCGACAGAAUACCUAAUUAGAGGAACACUUUGAGAUCUCC
rnacentral:misc_RNA from 1 species